rnacentral:rRNA from 1 species
AGCUCCAAUAGCGUAUAUUAAAGUUGCUGCAGUUAAAAAGCUCGUAGUUGGAUUUGUGGCGCGGCCGUCCGGCGGGGCUCCUUCAUUGGGGCCGUUUGUCUGGUUUUUCGGCCGCCCCAUUCUCGGGUAGUGUGUCGCUGGCAUUAGGUUGUCGGCUUCUUCACGCCCGUCGUUUACUGUGAAAAAAUUAGAGUGUUCAAAGCAGGCUUAGGCCGUUGGAUACAUUAGCAUGGAAUAAUGAGAUAGGGCCACGACGGUCUAUUUUGUUGGUUUGCACGUUGUUGUAAUGAUUAACAGGAACGGUUGGGGGUAUUCGUAUUCAAUUGUCAGAGGUGAAAUUCUUGGAUUUACGAAAGACGAACAACUGCGAAAGCAUUUGCCAAGAGUGUUUUCAUUAAUC